UGUGUGUUGUGUGUGUGUGUGUGUCUGGGGUGUGUUGUGUGUGUGUGUAGGUAUGUUCCGCACAAACACACACCACACACACACACACACACACACACACACACACACACAUAUUAUUAAUCUAUAUCUAUAUAUAUAUAUAUUAUAUAUAUAUAUUUAUAUAUAUCUCUAUAUAUAUAUACAUAU